rnacentral:rRNA from 1 species
GAUGAACGCUGGCGGCGUGCCUAAUACAUGCAAGUCGAGCGAACAGACGAGGAGCUUGCUCCUCUGACGUUAGCGGCGGACGGGUGAGUAACACGUGGAUAACCUACCUAUAAGACUGGGAUAACUUCGGGAAACCGGAGCUAAUACCGGAUAAUAUAUUGAACCGCAUGGUUCAAUAGUGAAAGACGGUUUUGCUGUCACUUAUAGAUGGAUCCGCGCCGCAUUAGCUAGUUGGUAAGGUAACGGCUUACCAAGGCAACGAUGCGUAGCCGACCUGAGAGGGUGAUCGGCCGCCCGGGAACGUGGACCGCGUCCAGACCCCUGCGGGAGGCACCAGAAGGGAACUUCCGGAAGUGGGGGAAAGUUUGACGGAGCAGCGCGGAGUGAUUGAUGAAGUUUUUCGGUUCGUAAACCUUUUUUAUGAGGGAAAAACAAAUGUGUAAUUAACUGCCCCCUCCUUGACGUUACCUAAUAAAAAAGCACCGGCUAAGUACGUG